UUAUAUUGAAAAUGAUGCUUGAACGUUCCACAUGCCAGAUGUAACUUUGUUUUCUUUACUAAUUUCUUACUUGGAAGAUGGAGUUAUAAAACAUUCUCCCUUAACACACCCCAGUAGUGGUUCUUAAUUUGACUGGGGCCCACAACAGCGGUGAAUUAUUCAGAAAAAUGGUUUUAAAGGGUUUGUCCUCUUCAGUAUUACAGCUGAUUGUGAUUAUGCUCGCUGGGACAAAACAUUUGGUACAUAAUUUUCCAAUGUGGCUCAGGAUGGGGAGAGAAAGAAUAAAUAAUAAUAAAAAAAAGUUUUACAAGAUCUAUUAUUUAAAUUGCAAUUACAGGGAACAAAACAGAAAGUGAGUAAAAUAAAAAGUGAACAUGUGAUGUUUCAGCAGUUGGAUCUUCAACCCUGAAGGUGUCACCUCAGUUUAAUUAACUCCAAGGGAGGAGGCUUGCCUAUUGCCUCCUUUUCUCUAUUUUUUAUUUAUUUACAGGUCUGUUGAUUGCUGAACGUGGAAGCAGAUGGCUUGGCGGUCAGUGUGGCGUCGAGUAUUGAACCCAGGGCGUGAUGGAUGAGUGUUUGGAGCUGAUAUGGUGGACAUGUUAAAGCACCCAUCGACAUACAAUCGUGAUUGUCCUGGACCAGCAGGUCAGCCUGGUAUGAAGCAACCAAGUCCUGACAUGACCUCACCUCCACAAGGUCAGUACCCCUGCAAGGGGAUAACUCGUCUGAUGACACACCCCUGAGCAUGGCCAGCUGCAUGAGCACUGCAGACUCCGAGCCGUCAGCGGAAAAGACUGCAUGAACUUUUGGUGGACACUGGAGACACAUAUGGGACUCUGAGUUGUGGACUAAGACUGUCACUGAAUAUGAUACUGAGAGAAGAAACAGUGUCUGCCGUUGUGAUCUGAGGGGGAGAAAGCAUUGCUAGCAUCUAUGGAGGACUGUGAACAGAGCCUGCUACAACUGGUGUUCUCUCCAGCUAUGGAAGUUGCAACGUCUGGUUCCUGCUCUUCUUCCCACCUGACCCGCCACAUGUCACUCUGUUCUACGACAGCAACCGCACAGACUGGUAUCAUGAUUCUUUAAGGUAAAACACAGACGGUCAUUCUAGGAAUAUGUAUGUGGCACCUGAGCGUUUGGCAGCUGCUACUGCUGAACAAUUUAUAAUGAUAUAUGAUGUCGGAUGAAAUGAUUUCACACAUUUCUCUUUCUCUCCAUGUUGAGCACCAGAAAGAAGUAGGGGCAUGGUUAAACAUUCCCUUCAGGCAACUGAUUGGGCUCCUACCAGCGUGCAGGAUGCACUCUCUGACUGGAAGGAGUUUUUCGGGGUUGCGACGUCAACCUCCCAGGAUUCACAGGUAGCACACGGAAUUUGACAUCUAAAGAUUGUUGUGUAGUUUCAGAUUAUAUUGGAGAUUCCUAAGGAAUGUGAAGGAGGGUCCACAAACCCCCAGACCUCGGCUGAGUGUGCGCUAAGGUCAACGAAGGACAGAAGUGGGGGUUGUGAUUUAGGGUGCUCUGACCAGAGUGCGGAGCCGUGAGGUCCCACCACAGGGUGCCAAAGGAAACACCGAGACCAGCGCAGAACCAGAGUGGGAAAGUCAUCAAAAGAAAGUGGUCAGAACCAAGGUGGACCAGCCCGUACCAGAUGGUGGAACACACUUCGCACGCAGUCAGGCUCAAAGGAAAAGGCGACACCUGAUAUCAUUGGAGUCAGUGUGCAGCCACUGAGGAACCCCAGCGCUCUCAAACAUCAGGUGCGCCAGGAUUUACAGGAUAACAACACAACGCUGUGAAAGGGAACCUAUCGGUGAAUCCUCUACUCUCCAGGGGACAUAAUAAUGCCCGUAGAGAGAUUCAGUGAGCUUAAGAUCACUCACAAAAAUUGCGCAAAGGAGACAGAGCAGAAGAACAAAGAAGAAGAGGCGGAAGAAGUGGGCAGUGAGCUGCUCUCCUGCUCCAGGAAAAAAAAAAAAA